CAUGUCAUAUCCUUGUCGUGUGUGUGUCAACUAUCUUAUGUUAACAAUAAAUUAAAUAGUGAUUUAUAAACUGUUACAAUUGAAUAAGUUAUGUGAGACGUUUAUUUUGAAAGUAACACAAUUGAUUUCUCAAUGUAUUACAUUUAUGGUUUGUACAAAUCUGCCUGAAGUUUACAACAAAAGGGGCCAUUGUACAGAUUUGUCAAGUAAUAGAUAUAUAUUAUACAUGUGUUGUAUAAAUGUCAAGCUCAGCGUAUACAUAUUUGUGAAGUAAAGAUGGUUAAACGCAUUAUGACUGUUUAACUCAAUGUGUUACAGUACAAUGGUCAUAUGAACAGCGGUGAAUCAUGGACAGGUCACGUAGCUAUAGGGAAAUAUUUAGUUUCGUUGCGGUCAUUACAAUGUUACAUACUAUUGUUGUGGUCAGUAUGAACUGUGAUAGAUUAAAUUUGAAACCUGAAGCGCCAGUUUGUAGUGACGUGUCUGUUAGCGGAAGGACCGUGUAUUUAUCAGGAAUAGACAAUGGUGCAAACGGUGUCGGCUGUAAUUGUUACUUUAGUUUAUGUAGUUUAAAUGCAUCUACGCAGCUACCAGUGACAAUUGAAGUAAGGAAUGUAACUACCGCAACUAACUGGUGUGAUUAUUUAUUAUAUUCUGGAUAUAGAAAUAUUAGUACAACACUGUAUUCGUGUGGUGAAAAUGUACAUAAAACGAGUUUUGAAUUGGGAAUCAUGGAAACUGUGGAAUUGUUUAUACAGAAAGGAACUAUUAAUGGUUUUGGGUUUCCCUUUUGUCUUGAACUAGUUAGUAAACCAGGUUCCGAAAUACAAUUAAGAUGCACGUCCAAGUCAACAACAACAACGUCAAGCACCAACAAUGGUAUGUCGACAAUUUCUGACAGUACCAGGAGAAAUGGUGAUACAUGUGCCACUAAUUAUAGAACGGAUAAACCUGCCAUGCCUUCUACAACUGAAGACCCACCUAAUGAUGAUU